CUUUUUACCUCAUUUUUGUAUGAACAUGGACACAAGUGCCAGAAGAUAAAGACUCGAGCUGGACCUGUUACCACCCGGGUUGGCAGGGUGUUCCAAGGACAGUAGUACUGACUUGUACUGAUCCCCUCUUCACUAACCCCCAGGAGCAAACAUGCAGUCAUCUCUAUUUUUGUAAAGAUCUCAUAGUUGUAUUUGUUCAAACAAAACCCCAGCCAGAGUGCUAUUGGUGUCUUGACAACCAUCUGUAAGACAUUGGUUUAUCAGAAGACUUGUAAGAGACGUGUGUAUUCUUUGUAUUAUAUUGUUAAGUUAUUCUUGGUCUCUGUUGCUUUUGUGACAAGACUCCAUGUUUAUAGGUGAGCUCUUUGUCCCAGAGAUGGUUGUAUGCAUACUCUUGUUCAUUGUUAAAUUUUUAAUAUUAAAUCAGUUUAUAGUUUAUUUUUUCUCAAAAUUUUUAAUUCAAACAAUUGUGCUACGAUGUUACAUAUGAAAUUAUAUAGUGACAUGUUCAAGAAUUAUUAGGACCAACUUUCCUUUUGUUGAUGCCCAAAACUGAUGCUAUCGUCAUCAUUAGUGACUAUAUCAGACUGAAUGCUUGCAGUGUUUUAAGAAAAGAAUACGGAAUAUAGUACUUUGUAAAAAAAAAAUUAUGGUGGUAAUAAUAAAAUCUACAAAUAUUGUAGAAACACUGUCCCAUCAAGUGUCAGUCACAACUGGUCCCAUAUUCCUCUUUAAACAUCAAAAUAGUUUGAAAAUUCUUGUGCUCUGCAAAGAGCUGCAUACUAAUUUGGGCGACAAUUACUUUACUUGUCUUUGUAAAGGCUUCUUACAAAGGGAAAGUGAGCUUAAGAUCUAGUCAUAUUUCCUGUUUUGUUUGUUUAAUCAAUGUGAUAGAUUUGUUGUACUGUGAUUUGAUUUGUGAUUUAUGAAAAAAUGGCAAACUUGUGAUAUCGAAUACAAGUUCAGUUGUGGAAAUGCAUUUGCCAAAAAUAUAGAAAAUAUGUUUACCUGUAGGUUAUAAAGCUCACUUGUAUCAACAUCACCCGAUGUUGGGUGCCAAACUAGGAAUUAAUUAUGUACCUCAAUUUGUGAAGAAUAAUAUUGAUACUUGACUCACACAAGUAGAAGCUCAAGUAAUGUCUAUAGUUCAUGUAUAUCAAUUUUCCACGUUACUCUUGGCCGUCAUUUGCAUGACAGUACAGGGGUGUCCAUUUCUCAUGUUAUCUUCAUUUGAUGUUUGUCAAGUUAUUUAAUCAGAUGAAUAUACUGUAGUUCUAUAUUUCUAUUAUUUUUUUUCUUUGUUAGGGAAAAAAUAUUACAUUUUUAUCAUAUACUGUGGAAAGUGUUACAUCUAAUUUAUUUUGUAUGCAUUCAUCAUGUACACUUGUUAGUAUUUAUCCAUGAAGUUUUUUUUUAUGUGGAUAAUGUCUGGAAAUCACUAAGAUUUUCCUUCAGGUAUUGUAAAAACUUUAUCACAUAAAUACCGUAUUCAUUCUUUUAUAUAGCUGUUUUUCUUGAAUGUUUAUUAAAAACGUAUUUACCUCACAAAUAAUGUUCAGAUUUAGCAAAGGGAGGGGGCUGACAGACAACCUAAGCUAGGUUAGGGGAUUUAGGGAUAAUGUUACACCAGUGAAUCUUCUCUGUCUUGGGCUAUUUAUCUCGGUCGAUUCCAUCCAAUCAUCCGUCCAUCAAGGGGUCAAAGGUAAAGGAAUCAUAAGGGUUGUCUCAAACCAAAAAGAAACAUGAGGAAAAGUCUUCACUCUGUUAGAAAGACCAAAAGAUAUAAACUUUGUAUAGUGAUAGUAUUUUGAAGAAGUUUUACCAAAGUUAUACCUGUAGACUGUAUCAGUGUUUUCAAAAACCGGUUUUUUGUUGCAACUUUUUUCUCAAUAAUUCCUGUGCAUGUACCAAUAUGUGACCGAAGACGGUAGAUGGUGGAUGGAUAUUAAGAAUGUUUAGGACCAGUCGUGUUGAUAUAUAUGAAGUACAAAAUGAGCUCUACCAAUGUUGUGUUUUAGAUUGGUUGAUAGAUAUGUCGGUAGUAUUCUAUUGUUUAGGUAUUUCAUAUUUGAAGUAAGAAAAACCCUCUGCCCUCCGACAGUAAGGGGAGGUAACUGAGGGGAAUAGACUGAGGGUAUGGGUUAUGUAUGUGUAGCUAGUUGUUAUAAGUAUCAUAUUACCAAAUGUUAUACUCCAUGUAGAUAAAUUGAUAUUUGCAUUUUAUUUAGAAUUAAUGUGUUUGAAUUAGAUAUUAUUAAAGCCAUUUCUUGACAUGUCUUUGUUAUGGUGGUCUGUUAAUUUCUUCUUUUAUUUUUACUGUGAUGAAAUGUAAUUGACUUACUAUCAAUUUUUUCAUACCUGUUAUUUUGUCAGUAAAAAUGGGCAAAAUUAAAAUCAAUUCAAUUACUGGGUAAAUUUGAACUUUACAAUUUUCCACUAUUUGAUUGGUCAAGUGCCUGAACAUCAACUGGUGUUUUAAUUCCAUUAAAUUCAUUGAACUUGGGUUUUUAAUGAUUUCUCUGUAUUGAUAAAAAGUUAAUUGUAAAUUAUCCAUGUUUACACAACUGUUGUAUUAAGGAAUUAUUAAAGUUUGCCCAAUGUAGGGGAAAUAACCCUGCUCUAUCUCUUACUGCUGGAUGGCUGUACAAAAGUUUUGUUAUAAUGAAAAAAAUGUGUAAUAAAUUAUAUG
rnacentral:misc_RNA from 1 species